UUAUGCUUGGGCUCAAAGGAGAUGCUCAUUGCUCCAGAGUGGAUCUCAUUCUUCUCUACAUCAUAACAAUACAUUCAUUUAGAAGUGAACCCAAAUGCUCCUCUCCAGUGAAAGCAAUUCCACAGUGACAUGAAUUUUGUUUACAAAUUAACUAAAGCGCAGGCUGGUGAUUGGAGCAGUUAUGAUUUACAACAGGUGCCCUGAUCAAUCAACCAAUCACUCUAAUUCAUGUGAGCGGAGGUCUUGCCUUGCCCCAGUUGUUUCAUUUCGGCAAGUAAUUGAUAACAAACCGCACUCAAGUGUCAUCUGUACCUCAGGAAGAGGCGGGGCUCAGUAGAACCAGAAGGCUGGGAAUGAGGAAUAAUGAAUGGUUCUAGAAGCCACAGGGCAGGUGACUUUUCCUGACUUGCC